GAUGAACGCUGGCGGCGUGCUUAACACAUGCAAGUCGAGCGAAGCACUGGUUUGGAUUUCUUCGGAUUGACGAACCAUUGACUGAGCGGCGGACGGGUGAGUAACGCGUGGGGGAACCUGCCCCAUACCGGGGGAUAACAGCCGGAAACGGCUGCUAAUACCGCAUAAGCGCACGAAGAGGCAUCUCUUAGUGUGAAAAACUCCGGUGGUAUGGGAUGGACCCGCGUCGGAUUAGCCAGUUGGCGGGGUAACGGCCCACCAAAGCGACGAUCCGUAGCCGGCCUGAGAGGGCGACCGGCCACAUUGGGACUGAGACACGGCCCAAACUCC
rnacentral:rRNA from 1 species